CUGAUGGAUUCUCCACCUUCUGGGUUUUCUCCACCAGUCUACAACCGGUUAAGGAGGAAUGGCCACAGUUUUCACCAAAUGCUCAAGAGGAUGCUUGACCUCAAUCUAAGGCACACAAAGUAUCUCAGACUAGCUCUGGCUCCCUCACCUCGAAUCCCCUCUUCCUUUAGCUGGCUUCUUUUAGCACACACACUCAAGUGUGACUUUGUUACCUCGACAAAAGGACAGCAAUUUUCACACUCACACACCAAGACUAAGCCAGCCCCACUCAGGCACAUGUGGAAGUGGUUUGCAGAUCCCUAUAAUGACUUACCUCAAAUGGUUCAUCUCUGAUUUCCCUUUACACUUGACAUGAAGCCAUCAUGCAUGAAAUCAUAGAACAUGGCACUGCCCCCCAAAAUAUAAUGCAAUCCACAUGUGUACUUUAAAACAUUCUGGUAGCCACAUUAAAAAAGUAAAAAGACACAGGUAAAAUUAAUUAUAAUGAUAUAUUUUAUUUAACCCAUCAUAUCAAAAAUACUACAUUGAAUAUGUAAUCGAUAUGAAAUUAUUGAGGUACUUUACUUUCUUAUUUUGUAUUAAGACUUUGAAAUCUGGUGUGCAUUUUACAUUUACAGCACAUCUCAAUUUGGACUACCCAUAUUUUCAGUGCUGAAUAGCUACAUAUGGCUAUUGGCUACCACAUUGGACAGCAUCACUUUAAUACCUUUUUUGAACAUAUGUUUAUUUUUCAGACUACUCAGUAUCCUCCCUCACUUCUUCAAAUAACAAUCUCAAAAAUAAUAAUGUCUAUUAACAUGUACUGAGAAUCCACGUGCCAGGCAGUGUUGUAAAGUCCUUAGAGGGAUUUUAUUUAUUUAUUUAUUUAUUUAUUUAUUUAUUUAUUUAAGACAGACUCUCAUUCUGUUGCCCAGGCUGGAGUGCAGUGGCAAGAUCUUGGCUCACUGCAACCUCCACCUCCCAGGUUCAAGCAAUUCUCCCUUACAGGUAUUUUAAUUCUUACAACAGUUUAUGAUUACGUGUGACUUGCCCAUUUAUUUGGCCUAAAAUGAUCCUUUUUCAAGUUUGUCGUUUAGUUCCUUAUUUUAAUGUGUUCAGAUUUAGCAAACAAUUUCAUGAUCACCCUUUAGGAAUUUAUACAGUUCCAUCAGACACUCUCUUAUCCCUCCCCCACCACCCACCAACACCCUUCCAAAGCGGAAGAUUCUGUUGACCCUGGUUUUCCUAGUUGGCAACAUGUCUAAACCCUCUGGAGGGGACUAUCUAGAUUCAGUCGUUCGUUCAUUCACAAAGCACUUACUAUUAUGUACCAGGUACUGUGCUAGGCACCAGACAAGGCAGGCAAGGCUCCUACCUCCAAUUGUGAACUGGACGUUCAGAUGAAAUCAAAGAAAUGUAAGCUGAGGAGACACAGAGAGAGUCCAUUACUUUUCUGCCACGGGAUGGUCUUGCAGCCCUGUCCUGACUCAUUAAUGCCUCUGACCUCAGGGGACUGUACAGACAGCUCCUGCCUCAGAGCUCUGAAAAAGUCUCCACUCAACACAUGAAACUAUUCCAGAGAGUGCAUGGAAGAGAUGAGAGAUGAUGGGGUAGAAAGCUGGUCCAACACAGGUCAUAGGGCUAGGGAAGUGGUCCCAGGGCAAGGGACGCUGGGUGCCAGCAUCUUCUCAGACUCUACGGGGAUAGGCAAAUUUCUCCAUCUCCCGGAGCCUCAGCCUCCUCGCCUGUAAAAUGUGGGUUAUCCUGACGAUUUCACAAAGUCGAUGUGCAGCUCGAAUGAAACAGAGGAUUUGAAAAAGCACUAAACAAACACGUUAUAGUAAUUAACAACCAUAACUUUCCCACUAGCC
rnacentral:lncRNA from 10 species